rnacentral:hammerhead_ribozyme from 14 species
AUGCAAUCUUUUGUUGUCAUAGCAGUCUGACGAGGCCUCUGGCAAAGGCCGAAAUUGCGA